rnacentral:rRNA from 1 species
CCGGCGGACGGCUCAGUAACACGUCGGUAACCUACCCUCGGGAGGGGGAUAACCCCGGGAAACUGGGGCUAAUCCCCCAUAGGCCUGAGGUACUGGAAGGUCCUCAGGCCGAAAGGGCGUAASCGCCCGAGGAUGGGCCGGCGGCCGAUUAGGUAGUUGGUGGGGUAACGGCCCACCAAGCCGAAGAUCGGUACGGGCCAUGAGAGUGGGAGCCCGGAGAUGGACACUGAGACACGGGUCCAGGCCCUACGGGGCGCAGCAGGCGCGAAACCUCCGCAAUGCGGGCAACCGCGACGGGGGGACCCCCAGUGCCGUGGCAAAGCCACGCUUUUCCGGGGUGUAAAAAGCUCCGGGAAUAAGGGCUGGGCAAGGCCGGUGGCAGCCGCCGCGGUAAUACCGGCGGCCCAAGUGGUGGCCACUAUUAUUGGGCCUAAAGCGUCCGUAGCCGGGCCCGUAAGUCCCUGGCGAAAUCCCACGGCUCAACCGUGGGGCUUGCUGGGGAUACUGCGGGCCUUGGGACCGGGAGAGGCCGGGGGUACUCCUGGGGUAGGGGUGAAAUCCUAUAAUCCCAGGAGGACCGCCAGUGGCGAAGGCGCCCGGCUGGAACGGGUCCGACGGUGAGGGACGAAGGCCAGGGGAGCGAACCGGAUUAGAUACCCGGGUAGUCCUGGCUGUAAAGGAUGCGGGCUAGGUGUCGGGCGAGCUUCGGGCUCGCCCGGUGCCGAAGGGAAGCCGUUAAGCCCGCCGCCUGGGGAGUACGGCCGCAAGGCUGAAACUUAAAGGAAUUGGCGGGGGAGCACUACAAGGGGUGGAGCGUGCGGUUUAAUUGGAUUCAACGCCGGGAACCUCACCGGGGGCGACGGCAGGAUGAAGGCCAGGCUGAAGGUCUUGCCGGACACGCCGAGAGGAGGUGCAUGGCCGCCGUCAGCUCGUACCGUGAGGCGUCCACUUAAGUGUGGUAACGAGCGAGACCCGCGCCCCCAGUUGCCAGUCCUCCCCGCUGGGGAGGAGGCACUCUGGGGGGACCGCCGGCGAUAAGCCGGAGGAAGGAGCGGGCGACGGUAGGUCAGUAUGCCCCGAAACCCCCGGGCUACACGCGCGCUACAAUGGGCGGGACGAUGGGAUCCGACCCCGAAAGGGGAAGGGAAUCCCCUAAACCCGCCCCCAGUUCGGAUCGCGGGCUGCAACUCGCCCGCGUGAAGCUGGAAUCCCUAGUAUCCGCGUGUCAUCAUCGCGCGGUGAAUACGUCCCUGCUCCUUGCACACACCGCCCGUCACUCCACCCGAGCGGGGUCUGGGUGAGGCCUGAUCUCUGCGGAGGUCGGGUC